UUUUUUUUUUUUUUUAUUCUUUUAAAUAAAUUUAGAUGCUACGCUAACCGAUUUGCCACCCGGUGUUCUAUAUCGUGUUAAAGCCACUUAUGGUUAUGUUAAAGAAGAUGUCGAUGAAUUAAGUUUCGAAGUGGGCGAUAUCAUUCGAGUUAUUGAAUACGAUGACCCCGAAGAUCAGGAAGAAGGCUGGCUUAUGGGUCAAAAGGAGGGUACCGAGGAGAAAGGUCUCUUCCCUGCCAAUUUCACCAGGCCAAUAUAAAAAUCAAAUUGCACAGUUUU